rnacentral:rRNA from 1 species
AUGGCGGACUCCGACGCAUCGGCGGCGCCGCCAGAGGUAGCGACCGAGAUGAAGAUUCCAGUCGUAGACCUCACCGACGCCGUGCAGGAAGACGCUGCACCAGACCGUGCGGCGGCCGCCCCCACGCAGGAAGAGGAGCCAUCAGAGGUUGCCGAGGCCGAAGGCGACCACAAGAGGAAGCUCGAGGAGGUCGACGCGGGCGCGGAGGCCAACGGCGCCGGGGAGGACGCCAAGCGACCGCGCGUGGAAGGCAACGGCGCAGAUGCCGUGCAAAACAGUGAGUCCUCCGAGAAGCCCGAGGAGCCAGUCGCUGUGAUUACUGAGGGGGCGGCAGAUGCCGAGGUUGCUCCUGCUGGUGAUCUGCAGACAAGUUCUGAGGUCAAGCCACAGGAGACUGCAACUGAAGCACCGCCACAACAGCAAGAAGGCGAUGCAACCGGUGCCCUGCAGGAGACUACCCGCCUAAUUGAUGUGCCCAAUACCAAGGUCGGCGUUCUAAUAGGAAAAGCGGGUGAAACAAUCAGAAACCUGCAAAUGAGCUCGGGCGCAAAGAUCCAAAUCACAAAGGAUGCAGAUGUUCCUUCAGAUGCCACGACUCGUCCAGUCGAAUUGGUUGGAACUACCGAGAGUAUUGACAAGGCUGAGCAGCUUAUUAAGAGUGUUAUAGCUGAGGCUGAGGCUGGCGGUUCCCCUGCCUUGAUAGCCAAAGGUUUCGGGUCUGGUCAGUCAGGUUCAGAGCAGUUUGAGAUGCUAGUCCCUGAUAAUAAGGUUGGUUUAAUUAUUGGAAAAGGAGGUGAGACAAUUAAAAACCUGCAAACCCGAUCGGGUGCUCGAAUCCAGUUAAUUCCUCAACAUCCUCCGGCGGGUACUACACUGACCGAAAGGACUGUACGUGUUACUGGCAAUAAGAAGCAGAUAGAAGCUGCAAAAGAGUUGAUUAAGCAAGCUAUGAGUCAGACAUUUCCAAGAAACACAACUCAGUCUGGUGGCUAUGGUCCGCAACAUCACAACCCUCAGGGUCAUGGCCCAGCUUCUCAGUGGGGGCCACGGUCUCAACCUCAGCAGUAUGGAUAUCCACCAAGAGGGCCUCCUCAGAACGCGCCAUACUCUCAACCCCCUUAUGGUGGUUACCCACAGCAGCCACCACCAAGAGGUGGCAUGGGCUGGGACCAGAGGCAGGGCCCUCCGCCUCACCAGGGUGGUGGUUAUGACUACUACAAACAGGGAUCUCAACCUUAUGAAAGCCAGCCACCAAACUACCCCCCUGGACCAGGUAACUUCAACAGCUAUGGCCCAUCACAAGCUCCAAGCUAUGGACAGCCUCAGUAUCCGCAGUCUGCACCUCCACAGAACUAUGGCCCUGGAUAUGGUGAUCCUAGGUACAGUGCUCCAGCUCCAGCCCAGCAGUACUAUGGGCAGCCACCAGCCGGUCCGCAGCAAGGCUACCCUCAACAGCCAGAUCCUUAUGCUAGACCUCCAUAUGGUGGACCUGGACAAUGGCCACCCAGAGGCAGUGCACCUGCAGAUGGUGCUUACCAGGCACCACCGCCUGCAUCUUAUGCUCCGCCAGCCCAGCAACCUCCUGCUUAUGGUCAAACAUACCCAACUGGACCUGAUGGGUAUGCUCAGCAGGGUUAUUCACAGCAGGGUGGGCAAGGGCAAGGGCCAGCAGCAUAUGGUCAGAGUGCUCCGGCAGGACCAGGGUACAGUCAACAAGGCGGCUAUGCGCAGUAUCCUGCAUCACAGCCAGCAUACGGUGAUCAGUCAGCUCAAAACAAUGCAAACUAUGGUUAUCAGGGAGCCCCAGCUGAUCCCAACUAUGGAAAUGCCUACCCACAGUCAGGAUAUGCUGCUGCACCGACAACUGGUCAGCCUGGAUAUGGUCAGGCAGGAUACACUCAGCCACCAGCUACAAACCCACCAAGUUAUGAUCAGUCUGCGCCACCAGCAGCUCAAAGUGGCUAUGCUGCACCUGCUGCAAACCCACAGCCUGCGGUUGCAAAGGGCGUGUCACCUCAGCCUGCUGCUGCUGCUGGAUACGGCGGGCAGUGGACUGCCUGA